UUUUCAACUUGUCCUCCAUUUAUUAUCAGAAUACAUAUGUACUCUACCCAGCUAUAGCAGCUCAAUAAUUGACCAACAAUAGCAUUAAUGACUAUUCUUUUUAAUAUAAGUGCUGCUUGAUAUGAACAAAACUGCCAAUAGAUAAAUUAAAUUCCACAUUGCCAAAGAAAUACCCAGAAUAUAAUGCGGUUUAUCACAAGAUGGAGAAUAAUUAGGAUUCAAUAGAUUAUUCUUUAGUUCUUCCAUAGUAACAUUGUUGCUUAUCUGUUCUGUACACCCUACGAUAUCAUGGAACCAAUGAAGUUCAAGGCCAAUGUGGUAGAAAGAUAUAAUUGUACCUAUUAUAUAACUACAAAACAUCAUAUAAAUCAGAAUUUUAUUGUGCUUAAGUAGACAUACUACUGCAAGCAAUGCUGCAGCAUAAAAAACUACGCGUUCGUAUAUACAUAACUUACAUGGCAACAUGUUAAAAAAAUAUUGCAGUA